CGAAAGCCUGACGGAGCAAGACCGCGUGGGGGAAGAAGGCUCUUGGGUUGUAAACCCCUUUUCUCUGGGAAGAAAGUUGUGAAAGCAACCUGACGGUACCAGAGGAAUCAGCAUCGGCUAACUCCGUGCCAGCAGCCGCGGUAAGACGGAGGAUGCAAGCGUUAUCCGGAAUGAUUGGGCGUAAAGCGUCCGCAGGUGGCAGUUCAAGUCUGCUGUCAAAGACCGGGGCUUAACUUCGGAAAGGCAGUGGAAACUGAACAGCUAGAGUAUGGUAGGGGCAGAGGGAAUUCCUGGUGUAGCGGUGAAAUGCGUAGAGAUCAGGAAGAACAUCGGUGGCGAAGGCGCUCUGCUGGACCAUAACUGACACUCA
rnacentral:rRNA from 1 species